rnacentral:rRNA from 1 species
UACGGGGGGAGCAAGCGUUGUUCGGAUUUACUGGGCGUAAAGGGCGCGUAGGCGGUCAGCACAAGUCAGUUGUGAAAUCUCCGGGCUUAACUCGGAAAGGUCAACUGAUACUGUGCGACUAGAGUGCAGAAGGGGCAACUGGAAUUCUCGGUGUAGCGGUGAAAUGCGUAGAUAUCAGGAGGAACACCGGUGGCGAAGGCGCCACUCUGGGCCGAAACUGACGCUGAGGAGCGAAAGCGUGGGUAGCAAACAGG